rnacentral:rRNA from 1 species
CUACGGGGCGCUGCAGUGGGGAAUAUUGGGCAAUGGGCGCAAGCCUGACCCAGCAACGCCGCGUGAGGGAAGAAGGUUUUCGGAUUGUAAACCUCUGUCCUUGGGGACGAAGAAGUGACGGUACCCAAGGAGGAAGCUCCGGCUAACUACGUGCCAGCAGCCGCGGUAAGACGUAGGGAGCAAGCGUUGUCCGGAAUUACUGGGCGUAAAGGGUGCGUAGGAGGCAUAUUAAGUCAGGUGUGAAAUACUCGGGCUCAACCCGGGGGCUGCAUUUGAAACUGAUAUGCUUGAGUGUGAGAGAGGAAAGUGGAAUUCCUAGUGUAGCGGUGGAAUGCGUAGAUAUUAGGAGGAACACCAGUGGCGAAGGCGACUUUCUGGCUCAUAACUGACGCUGAGGCACGAAAGCGUGGGGAGCAAACAGGAUUAGAUACCCUGGUAGUC